AUUAACCCUCCAAAACCCCCCUCCAAUACAAUUUUUUAGUUCCUCCAAAUGAGGAAGGUUUUGUAUUAUGAAGAAAAGUUAACCCCCCAAAGCCCUCAUCUUUCAUUUUCCUCUAUUUCUUCCACUUACUUAUUCCUUUUUUCCCAAGCCUUCUCCUCCCUUCCCCUCCAAACUCGCAAACAAAGCCUAAGAUUUAUUUCCCCCCAAACUCCUCUUCAAAGAAAUUCAGAAUGACACCCUUGUCAAAAUCUCACCACGGCGUCUCUAGAUUUCGAAUCACACCAUGAAUCUGUAGCAAUUCUGUUCUUCACUCGUCAGUCCUCACUGAUUCGAAUUCUCUGAUUCUGUAAAGUCAUUGAAGAGGGGCACAAAACGAAGAUGAAGACUCCGAGCAAGAAAAACAACAGAACUGAAGACGAAGAGGGUGAAACCAAUGGAAGCGGUCCAUAUAUGUCCGAAAGCAAUGUAGCUGAUCUGCCUUUGAUCAAAAGCAAUAAAAGUGGAGAUGGCGAGCUAGGCAAAAAGAAAAAGAAAAAGAAGAAACUGAGUGAAGAGAGCAAUCAUAAGAAGUAUAAUGAGUUCGAUAGCAAUGAAUGUGAAGAUGAUGACCAAGGAAAGAAGAUGAAAAAGAAGCGGAAGCUAAUUGAAACAGUGCAUUUUGUUGCAAGAAGUGGUAUGAGCAAUUAACAUCACCAAUGGUUGCUAGUGGUGAUUGGUGUGAUACGGAUGACUUCCGCUUGAUAAACGCUUUAUAUGCUUUGGAUGCUUGCUGCAUGGAGGAGGUAGACUGGGACAAUCUACUUGAGCAUAGGUCUGGUGAUGUGUGCUGGAAACGAUGGGAACAAAUGAUCCACCAUAUCGGGGAGCAUGCAGCCAAGUCAUUCAUUGAGCAGGUUGAAGUUCUGGCAAAGAGAUUCUGCCCUAACCUGUUGGAAGAUAGAGAGGCCUUUGACAACAAACCUGUGAUUUGUUGAGGUUUCUAACCUUUAACGUGGUUUUCCAGAGGAUGAAAUGAUUUUGGUAAACCAGAAUGUAUUAUGCUAUGAUGAGUAUGGUGUUUUUUGUUGUAAUGAAAUCUUAAGUAGUAACCUUGUUCUUUUAAGUAGUAGUAACUUAAGUUAAACUUGUUUUGAUUAAAGGCUGGUUUUGAUUUUGGCCUGUUAGACCUACUAAUUCUAUCGUGAACUUGAGAAAGUUAGAUGUUUCAGGUGAAAAAUCAGAGCUGAAGUUCACAAUCUCAGACCUGAAACAUCUUUGCACGAA